rnacentral:tRNA from 1 species
UGGGAGAUCGUCUAACGGUAGGACGGCAGACUCUGGAUCUGUCUAUCUAGGUUCGAAUCCUGGUCUCCCAG